rnacentral:rRNA from 1 species
ACUUACCGAGUUUACAACUCCCAAACCCCUGUGAACAUACCUAUACGUUGCCUCGGCGGAUCAGCCCGCGCCCCGUAAAAAGGGACGGCCCGCCCGAGGACCCCUAAACUCUGUUUUUAGUGGAACUUCUGAGUAAAACAAACAAAUAAAUCAAAACUUUCAACAACGGAUCUCUUGGUUCUGGCAUCGAUGAAGAACGCAGCAAAAUGCGAUAAGUAAUGUGAAUUGCAGAAUUCAGUGAAUCAUCGAAUCUUUGAACGCACAUUGCGCCCGCCAGUAUUCUGGCGGGCAUGCCUGUUCGAGCGUCAUUUCAACCCUCAAGCUCAGCUUGGUGUUGGGACUCGCGGUAACCCGCGUUCCCCAAAUCGAUUGGCGGUCACGUCGAGCUUCCAUAGCGUAGUAAUCAUACACCUCGUUACUGGUAAUCGUCGCGGCCACGCCGUAAAACCCCAACUUCUGAAUGUUGACCUCGGAUCAGGUAGGAAUACCCGCUGAACUUAAGCAUAUCAAUAAGCGGAGGGAAAAAAACCAACCA